ACAGAAUAUUUAAUAUAUAAAGUAUGGAAUUUAGACUUUAUUUUGAUAUGUAAAAUAUGGCUUUAUUCAGUAGCUCUCUCAGCAGCUCUCUCACAGUGUCCACAUUUAUCUCGGCUAUCUGCUAUAUACAUUGCAUAUAUAAAUUCAUAAUUUUGAUAUUUAUAACCACAUUAGUCCUUACAUAAAACAAUACAUUUGUUGUAUUUAGUGAUAUACCUAAAAAAAUUAGUCUCAGCAAAGGUACUUUCCCCAGAUUAUGCAGAUGGUAAUUGAAAGACAAAAUUAAAUCCAACUUUUUUCUCCUUGCAUGCAUUGUUGUUUUCAGCAUAUUUGUUGCCUCAUUACACCUCAUCUAAUUCACAAGAAAAUUAGAAAUCUUAUACUAUUUAUUUAGUUUUUAGUAUUUCAUAGGGUUUUUAAAAAUACAUUAGCACAAAGUAGAGUUUGAGUACAACAAAAGACAGAGUCAAAUAACAUUUGGAUACAUGAAGACUAAUAUUCUUUGGCAAUAAUGGUAAUAUCCUCUCAUCCAUUCAAGUUGGGAGUCUCAAAUAAUUUCAUUACUCACAUUGUUCACAUUCAGUUUUCUCCUCAAUUUUACCACCAACGUCAACUUAAUCAGUUCCUGCCUUUCAAUUCCAAUUGCUUUCACUUGACUCAUUACUGUUCUGCACCACUACAAGGGCAUUAGCCUCUGAAGUCAGAAUUAACAAAGGGAAGGCAUCAAAAGGUGUACGGAAGUCAAAUCUGUUACAGAUGUAUUGUGUUAAGUUGAUGUGCCUUCUGUUAAGUAAACGUGUAUCCUGUUAAGUUGAAUGAGCCUCCCAUUAGCUUACGUGUUCUGAUGUGUCCUGAUAGGAUGAUAAAUACCACUUGAGCCUUGAAUAUCAGCUAGGGGAAAGUUGCUUGGCACAUCACUGGAACUCUUGCCCUUAGUUCAAAGAUCUCUGAGACUUGGGGGAUAUUAGGAAUUAAUAUAACAAAGAUGCAUUUAUUCUAAGUUUCAAGUGCUGUGUCCUAAGAUUAGUAAACUGUGGAAUCAUGCAGUCAUAUUCUAAAGAGUAGUAAAUGAUGAAACUGUAAUAUGUGUAGAACAACAAACAGACUCCAUUUGUAACAAGCUUUUAAUUUGUCUCCUACUGGGCAAUUUCUAAUCCUACACAUAGCUGAUAAUAGAGUCUAUUUGUAGCUACCGGACACAGAAUGACAAGUAAGACAUGGUCUCUGCUUUGAAGAAUAUAGAGAUGGAUGGAGACUAUACACUUCCAACAAUCGAAAUGCAAUGUGACAUGUGCUGCAAUAGAACUACGAACCAAUUUACUUACCUACCUUAUCUUUCACCAUCAUCUGCCUGGUUUAUUCUGUUC